rnacentral:sRNA from 1 species
AGAUCUUAUCUCUGUAUGCAUAACUUGGGACUUACCUUUAUCAUUCUACUAAAGCUCAAUCAUUCUUUAAUGGACCAUCUUUGUCUCCUGACCUUCACCUUAGCCAAAUGAGUUCAUUGAUGAUGCAUUGCUUGAUUUACGUUCCAGAACUAAUGAAUGUUAAAGGGAUUGAUAGAUUUGAAAGCAUGUGUAGGUCGAGUAUAAGAGUCGGAUUGAAUCAUAACAAGGCAUGGCUAACGUUUUUGAGUAGAAUUCGAUC